ensembl:lncRNA
AUGCAACUUACAGUCGCAAAGCCAAGUGAGCUGUUGACUGAGACUCAAUUUCAGGUUUCUACUGUACAAUUUCUCAUUGAAAACUGCCUCAGCAUAUUUGGAGAAGACAUCACUUCCCUCUUGGGGAAGAAAGAACUCAACGACUUGAAGAAACAGUGAUGCUUCAGGUACCUUGAAAAAUUCAGCUGAUAUUGAUGAGAAACAGUCAGUGGGACUGCCAGGGGUCCUGCAGAUGCUUAGGCAGUGGCUGUCCCGGAUUCCAGGGAAUGCCCCAACCCCAGUGAUGCAGGACCCAGGACUCCAUCUGCUCCUUCUUCAUAAGGUUGGCUCACAGGUCAUCUGCUGAGAAGGUCAUCUUCACCAUCUUCACUGUGCUCACUGAAUGAGGACAUUCCAAGAUGCCAGCUCAUCCCAUCUGAGCUUUCCUUUUCCUAAUCCCAUGCAUCUGUGUUUGAGAAAAUCUUCCCACAUGAUAGAUCUUCUAUUUUCCCAUUUAUGCCAUGUGGUAUUACUUUGUUAUUAAUAAUAAUAAAUGCACAUAUUUUUGGUGUGUACAUGCAUAUUAGUCUGUUUUGUGUUACUAUAAAAAAAUACUUGAAGUGGGGUAACUUAAAAAGGGAAGAGGUUUAUUUGGCUUAGGGUUGUACAGAUUUACAAGAAGCAUGGCAUCAGCAUCUGCUUCUGUUGAAGGACUCAGGAAGCUCGUACACAUGAGGGAAGGUAAAGGGGAGCAGGAGGGUCACACGGCAAGACAGCAAGCAAGAGAGAUAGGAGGAGAUGCCAGCCUCUUUAAUCCACCAGCUCUCCUGUGAACUAAUAGAGCAAGCCCUUGCUCAUUACCUUGGGAAGGACACUAAGCCACUCAUGAGGGAUCCACCCCCAUAAACUAAAACCUUCCCACUUGGCCGCACUUACAACAUUUGGGAUCAUGUAUCAACAAGAGAUUUGGAGUGGACAAAUAUCCAAACUAUAUCACCAGGUGAUAACUUGAUAUAUUCAGAAAUCUAAUCAAGGUAAUUGGUUGGAAUAUUUAUCGUAUUAAAUAUUUAUCUCUUUAUCUUAUGUUGGUGUGAAAAUAAUUACAGUUUUUGCCAUUAAUCUUUGAUCCAUGCAGAUUUUUCUAGAAAGAGUUUCACGGUCAUGCUUGCCAAAUCCUGUAUUUUUCUUUAGGACGGUCAAAACAUCCAUUAACAUAUUAGCAUCUUAGAGAAAAUUUGCAGUAAAGAAGCCCACAUUUUUCCACAUGUAUUUGACCUUGGAGACACUUUUGGAGUAACCCCAUUAAUUAAUAAUCCUGAGAACAUACAUGAAUAAACAUUGCUCUACAUUUAUUUUCUUAAAUCACAGAUUUCACCAUUUCACUUACCCACUCAAAAACAUUCAGUGAAUCUCUGCCUAUUUUUUUUUCUAGUAAAAUGUCCUUUUGAAGAUCCUCCACAAUGCAACCUGCUCUUUUAGUCUAAUUUUAUCUUUGCUGUUUCCCAGUGUAGAUCUUUGGUUUUCAUAAAGGUCAAACACUUUACUCUUUCCUAAACAAGACUUACUCAAAUUUCUAACUAUAAUCCUCUACUCCCUUUGGUCUCUAUAUAUCCACACACUGGGUAAGCCAUUUACGAUCUCCUCUUCACCAUGUUUCCCCUGAGCAUUCCAACUCAAAUUAAUUGUUCCUAUAUAACACAUGAGGACCCAACCUCAGUAGGCACUGUACCACUAAGAAUAUGUUGGCAUGUUUAUGUAUUGUCCAGAAAAAUAAAAUUGUUGUGGUAAACGAAUAUAUCUUGAGUUUUAUAUAACUUUUUUUUUUUUUGGUCUAAGAAUGUUUAAAAAUAUUACUUUUAAAGCCUGGCUUAAUGUCUAGUAAAAAUGCAUGUAUUAAUGAAUAUGUGUAGUUUUCUAAGAAUGUAGGGAUUUUACAUGAAUUGCUAGUAACGGUACACUUCAAAACUGAAGAGGUAGAAGAGCACAUGAAAUUUCAAUGAAUAGUAAAAAGACAUCAAUUUGACUAACUCGGUACAUUUUUUUCUGAGACAGGUUUUUGUUCUGUCACCCAAGCUGGAGUUCAGUGGUGCAAUCAUAGCUCACUGCAACCUCUAGUUCCCAGGCUUAAGGGAGCCUUAGUCUCCCAAGCAGGUGGAAACACAGGUAUGUGCCACUGUGCCCAGCUAAUUCUUUAACUUUUUGCAGAUACUGGAUCUUGCUAUUUUGCCCAGGCUAAUACUUGAUAGAGUUUUAAGAUAUGACUUCACAGCUUGUACUUAUUCACAAGUAGGUACUGGAAUAUACUAUUUUUGUUCAGCAUGCCAAAAGUGAAAUAUUAAUGUGAUAUAUUUGGGGAUAAUUGCAUUUCUGUGAAAAUUCUUUUAAAUAUUUUAUCCACACCUGCAGAAUAAAAGGGACAAAAAAUAAAAACACCUUUAAAGGCAUCUAUGAGUUUUUGAGCUAGAAAGUAAGAGAUGCAAAAUCUCUCAAAUGUGAAAUGAAGACGACAUGAAAAAAAAAAUAAGAAAUAAAGAAAAGCUGAGAUUUGACUAAUUUGUCAAUUGCGAUUCAUAGAGGAGAUUUUUGCCAUAUGGAAAUACUGUAGUUAGUAAAUGAUAGUUUUCCCCUCAGGAUAUUCAAGCACAAUAUCUCUUUGAGAAAGGCAAUUUAUUUCUUAAUUUUGAAGAAAGAUCCUAGGGACUGAUAAACUGUGAAAGGACCCAACAGUGUAAUUGCGAGUGAGUAAAAGGCAAUUUGAGUUUCUGAUAUUGGCCUCUACCACAGCUGAGAGUAAGACUGUGUAAUCAUUAAUCAGUCUGCAUGUACUGGUACACUUAAUAUUAAAAGUUUCCAAAAACAGAGGAAAAGUACAUAAGAUGGAUAACAUAUAUUCCAGAGGGAAAAAACUCAUAGGCUACCUGUGUCAGAAAACUAAUUUUUGUUGACGGUAGGGAUUAAUUACUAUGAUAUAUUGCGUGAAAUAUAUAUACACACACAAUUUUUAUUCCACAAAAACAACAUGUAAGACUUUGGGGGAUGGAGUAUAUAUCAGUGCAAAAAGCCACCUUUUGUUCAGAAAGCACUGAGCACUGCCUGUCAUGUUUUUCUACACUUCUUUCCACAUUAGCCAAAUGAGCCCAUGCUCUAAAGACCUGUAGUUAACGCCAAUUCUAUUUCCCAUUUUUAUUCUAUGUUUUAUUUGUCCAUAGCAUCUAGGAAAACACUCAUUUUUUUUUUUCCGUAGUCCUC